GAAUUCAAAUGCCUACUAAGCGGGGGUGACUGCAGAUUUGCGAUAUGUGCCUAUGGUACAAAACCAAUUGGAAGAUGCUCAACAUUUAGAGCAUGUUGCAAAAGUAUGUGGUAUUGAAACCCUGAAAUGUCCCAGCAGGACGUCCCCCUCGCUUCUGCCUUCUGGAACCAUCUCCUGAGGUCCUCUCCCCUCCCUGCCUCUGCCAUGCCCAGCUGCUGGCACAGCAGCAGUGGCAGCUGCUCCUGCUGGGUGCUGCUGGGCUGGAGACAUCUCGUCCCAGCCGUGGGCUCUGUGGGGCAGAGGCUGCUUUUCCCAGCUUGAAUAAAGAUGAGCAGUUUGGCAUUGCA